UUUCUCUGAUUCUGGUUCAUCAGUUCCUUUAAAUCUUAUUUGAUCAGCAGAAGAAGAAAGAUUAAAAGGUUGAUAACGAAACGGAGCUGAACCAGAUUCCUGUUGGCUGUUCUGGGAAUAAUCCAGAUGUUUCUGAAACAGCUGCAGGUUAUUAUUGUCCAUUUGAAUACAUAAAUAACGUUACAGACUCUGUUCUGCUGCUGCAACGUUUCGUUUCUUCUGGGAUAGAUGUGAAGACGAUCUCAGGAGGCUUUGUUGUCUCUCUGAUUUAACAAACACUCGACUCACUUCCUGCAGAUUAUUUUUAGUCGACUGGGAGGUGAGAAAACUUUUCUUAUGACCCAGAAAACGAUUUAAUCUGAAGCUCUGUCCGCCAUCUUUACUGAUGUCAGCGUCAUCAACGCUCCAGGAACCUGUUCAGAGGAAUGGAUUGUUUUAGACCUGGAACCAGUUUAUCAGGAGUUUUCAGUCUGCAGAUAUUUUCUCCUUCCUCUCCAGGAUGGAGAAGGAAAACUGAACUCCCAUCCCGGCUGCGACGCUGCCUCUGAAUCAAUACCAGGGGAGAGAUUUUCCGUCUCAGUGGCCGUUAGGACGCCGUCGGGGAGAUUUAUGUGAUUGGUUGGCUGUGAGAGUUUGAGGUUGGCGACCGCGAGGCAGAGAGGAAGACGGAUCCUGACAGAGGAGAUCCUGGGUUUCAUUUCCAGUCGGUCGUUGAUGAAACCAGUCAAACCAGAGCCGGUCCUCCCAGUAG